rnacentral:lncRNA from 1 species
CCCUUUCCAAAUCAUUAUUUAAGACGUGCAGAGUAGACCGAUAGUUCUCUUCUACCUCUCGUCGAGCCUACUUAAUUCUGACUUCGAUCUCCACUUCUCGAUCCACUGGCUCUCUGGCUGACCUUUCUGGCAUAGCUUUAGGAGGAGGCUGGUCAUGAAACCAUGGCAGAUACCAAUAGUCUAUCUUGCCCUUGUCGCGGUCUUCCACCAUGUGAUC